GGAGAGGUGGCCGAGUGGUCGAAGGCGCACGCUUGGAAAGCGUGUAUACCGGAAACGGUAUCGCAGGUUCAAAUCCUGUCCUCUCCGCCA
rnacentral:tRNA from 1 species